GAUGAACGCUGGCGGCGUGCCUAAUACAUGCAAGUCGAGCGAACAGACGAGGAGCUUGCUCCUCUGACGUUAGCGGCGGACGGGUGAGUAACACGUGGAUAACCUACCUAUAAGACUGGGAUAACUUCGGGAAACCGGAGCUAAUACCGGAUAAUAUAUUGAACCGCAUGGUUCAAUAGUGAAAGACGGUUUUGCUGUCACUUAUAGAUAGAUCCGCGCCGCAUUAGCUAGUUGGUAAGGUAACGGCUUACCAAGGCAACGAUGCGUAGCCGACCUGAGAGGGUGAUCGGCCACACUGGAACUGAGACACGGUCCAGACUCCUACGGGAGGCAGCAGUAGGGAAUCUUCCGCAAUGGGCGAAAGCCUGACGGAGCAACGCCGCGUGAGUGAUGAAGGUCUUCGGAUCGUAAAACUCUGCUAUUAGGGAAGAACAAAUGUGUAAGUAACUAUGCACGUCUUGACGGUACCUAAUCAGAAAGCCACGGCUAACUACGUG
rnacentral:rRNA from 1 species